GAUGAACGCUGGCGGCGUGCCUAACACAUGCAAGUCGAGCGAACAGACGAGGAGCUUGCUCCUCUGACGUUAGCGGCGGACGGGUGAGUAACACGUGGAUACCCUACCUAUAAUUCUGGGAUAAUUUCGGGAAACCGGAGCUAAUACCGGAUAAUAUAUUGAACCGCAUGGUUCAUUAGUAAAAGACGGCUUUGCUGUCACUUAUAGCUGGAUACGCGCCGGUUUAGCUAGUUGGUAAGGUAACGGCUUACCAAGGCGACGAUGCGUAGCCGACCUGAGAGGGUGAUCGGCCACACUGGAACUGAGACACGGUCCAGACUCCUACGGGAGGCAGCAGUAGGGAAUCUUCGGCAAUGGGCGAAAGCUUGACGGAGCAACGCCGCGUGAGUGAUGAAGGUCUUCGGAUCGUAAAACUCUGUUAUUAGGGAAGAACAAAUGUGUAAGUAACUCUGCACGUCUUGACGGUACCUAAUCAAAAAGCCACGGCUAACUACGUG
rnacentral:rRNA from 1 species